GACGAACGCUGGCGGCGUGCUUAACACAUGCAAGUCGAACGGAAAGGCCUGCUUUUCCUUAUGGAUUGCGGGUACUCGAGUGGCGAACGGGUGGGUAACACGUGAGUGAUCUGCCCCCAACUUGGGUAUAAGCCCGGGAACCUGGGUCUAAUUACCGAUUGGACUGCAGGGUGGUGUCUGUGGUGGAAAAUGUUUUUCUAGUGGUUGGGGAUGAGCCCGCGGCGUAUCAGCUUGUUGGUGUGGUAAUGGCCUACCGAGGCGGCGAGGCGUAGCCGGCCUGAGGGGGUGAUAGGCCGCACGGCAACUGAGACACGGUCCAGACUCCUACGGGAGGCAGGAGGAGGGAAUGUUCCGAAAUGGGCGAAAGGCUGACGGAGCAACGCCGCGUGAGUGAUGAAGGUCUGCGGGUCUUAGAAUUCUGUUAUUAGGGAAGACCAAAGGUGUAAGUAACUAUGCACGGCUGGACGGUAUCUAAUCAGAAAGCCACGGCUAACUCCGUG
rnacentral:rRNA from 1 species